ACCUAGGUCAUCUCUGCUGCCCUCUGCUGGCCAAGCAGGUGGGCCAAGUCCAGAGCGGGGACUACCUUGAGAUCCGCAGGAACACCUGCCUGAGUGUUGUAAAGGGCUGCCUACGAAGACAUCCAGGUGCUGCCACGUACAGAGAUUCUUUAAGUUGACUGGACCAGCAAUAAUUUGGAAGAAGUAAAUUACAGAGUCAGGAUGGGAUUGUCCUUAUAACCUUAACAAGGAUUAUUUGCAAUUAAGGGAAACAUUUUGUGGAGAAUCAGAAUUGUAUAAUCUGAAACUGGAAAAAAGAAUAAUAUAAUCAAAACAACAAAGGACAAAAGUAUGUAAAGGAGAAUGGGACUAUCAGUAGUUGGAGACAUCUGGGAGAAUUUUAGUUCAGUGGUUUUGAUACAAGCACAUUAAUUGAUGCAGAUUUCUGGUUUUGGUUUUGUUUGUUUUGAGGCAAUGUGUGUGGACCAUCUGCUUUCAGAGGUUCCCUGGAAAACUUACUUUUAAGACUCUUGGUAUAUUUUCUAAUUCUUAGCAUCUGAGGAUAAGUCCUUGGAAACUUACAGAUGAACUGGUCCUCAGGAAUACCUAUAGAGUCCCGUCAAGGCAGAUUCCAAGGAAGUCUUCCUCAGAUUUCUUUUCCAGAAUCACCUGCUUUUAGAUCAUGUCACAUUGUGAAAUAUUGGAAUUUAGUAUUGAUGGAGCUAUUUCGUGUGACACGGGCCUGCCAGUGAGCAGAUCAUACUCAUAUAGUAUGGGACAUAAUGGGAGAGCACUCAGCAAUAAAAUGAAUGAAAUACUGACACACAGACAACAUGGAUUAAGUCUCAUAGGCAUUUGGUGAAUGGGAAUCCCAGGCAUAAAAGAGGACUCAAUAUAGGAUGCUAAUUUUAUGAAGUUCAAGAAUUUGAAAAACUAAUCACUGGAGAGAUCUUAACUGUGGUUACCUCUGGUUGGGAUGUAGAUUGACUGGCAAACAACAUGGAAGAACUUUCAGAAGUGAUAGAAUUGUUUUAUUUUUUGAAAGGGAUGCAGGUUUCAUGAGUGGCAGUAAGCUUGUUUCAGCCCCACAGAACUAUAAUUUAAGAACUUGGUGAUUGUUAAUGACACCUCAAUUUCAAAGUGAGAAAGGGAGAGAAUCUCUGUGUAUUAAAAAUCAAGAGUUGGUGUAUGUCCAAACGUUUCCGUAAUUUGUCAUUUUAAUUAAAUACUGUUUUGCCUAUCGUUAUGAUUGUUAAGUUUAAGACCUUUCCUGAGAACUUUGAUGGUAUCACUUCUCUGUUUGCUAACUAUCUGGGGCUGUCAUGAGAAGUCUGAAGUCAGUGUGAUUCUUACUCUUCUUAUCAUAACCAGUUUAUCCCCUCUCUCUGGAAACUGGUAGGAUACUGUCUUUAUCUUUGGUGCUUGGAAAUUUCACAGUAAUAUAUCUAAUGAGUUCUUUUCACAUUAGAUCUUAAGUGAAUUAUUUCAAUCUUAAGUCGUUCCUCACUUUUGGAGAACCUGCUGCUUCUUCCAAUGCUUCUGCCACUUCUUCUUUUUCUUCCUUUUACUUUGUUUUCAUCACUCCAUUUGCUCCGUUCUCAUUUUUUGGAAUGCCAUUUAGAUGGAUGUUCAAACUUAUCAUUGUUACUCGGGUAUCUUAUAUUUUCUUUCAUAUUUUCCAUCCCAUUUUCAU